AGUAUUGUAAACAUUAUCUUUUGAUUGUUUUAAAUAUUUUAACUAUUGCUAAUGAACAAAUUCUAUUGAGCUUUGUUUAUUGAUCUUCUAUCCAACCAUCUAAACUCUUUUUAAUUCUAUUUGUAGAUUCUUUAAGGUUUUUUAUAUAAACAAUUUUUUUUCAGUAGUUAACAGUUCUCUUUUCAGUUACAUAUACAUUCUUAUCUUACUAAAUUGACUAUGAAUAAGAAAGAAGGAAUGAGGGAAGGGCUAUAGUUCUUACACUAGGUAAAAUAUUCCUUAAACAUUAUCUUAAGAAAAUUUUAGCAAUCCUGUAAGAUAAAUGUUUUUCCUUUUUUUAACAGGUAAUGAAAAAGGACACGUUCUGGGAGGUGAAAGAAUGAAAAGACUCAGGAGACAAGCUGCUGAAAAAGACAGAAGACAUGUUUUGAACAGUCAGCCAGUAACUUCUAAAAAACAUCGAUCUAGGAAAAAACAGGCAUGGCUUUGGGAAGAAGACAAGAAUCUGAGAUCCGGUGUGAGGAAAUACGGAGAGGGAAACUGGUCUAAAAUACUGUUAAAUUAUAAAUUCAACAACCGAACAGGCGUCAUGUUGAAAGACAGAUGGAGGACUAUGAAGAAGCUAAAACUGAUUUGCUCAGACAGUGAAGACUGAAUGUGUUUGUAAAAGCUUGAUAGAAGGACAGUUAAAUAUUUUGAUCACUGCAUUUUGUUUGAAACUUGGUGGUCAUUGAUGUAUCUUAAAAUUUUUGUCUAAAGCAUUACAGUAUCUAUAGUAUCACUUCAACUAAUAUGAAGAUUUAUGCUAUAAGAGUAAGAUUAUAUGCCAUCAUUGCAUUCUUUAAGAAUCUUUUUCCUCUGAUAAAAUGUAAAUUUGUUGAACCCUGGUGCUUUCAAUAACCCUAUCCCCAAAUCCUAUUCCAAUUAAAAAAAAAAAAUUGGAAAUCUGGUAAGAGAAAAAAUAUUUAUUCCUAUUAACCUAUUCUGUGUCUGUAAGCUGACUUGACCUUUGUAACACACAUAAAAGUGAAGUUUUUUUAAGACUUGAUUUAUGGCCUUAAUAUAUUAGUUACUAAUACAUUUGUAUAUAGAAUGAUGCAUGUACAAAGUAAUCCAUGAGUUGUAACAUUCUUAAAUUUUCUUUUCAGUUGUUUCAUAUAGAGGAGAAAACUUAAAAAUAGUAAUACCCAUAGGAGGACAAAGUUUGUACUAUUACCAAGAACAGCUUCAUGUCCCAUUUAGGUACAUUUAACUUUGUUCCAGUGUUAAAACCUUGACAAAGGUGGUUUUAAAUCUGCCUUUAACCUGGUGCCAUAAAUACCAGUUUCUUUGAUUUUUUUUCCCUCUAUAUUUUCAUUUAAUAAAUCAAUAUUGGGCCUAAGUGGUAUUCUGUAAGUGCUUAAAUUAGUGUUACCCAUGAUCAUUUUGAUGUCUGUGAUAAUUGCUAAAUAAAUAAGGUCAUCCAUAUCUUACUGAACAAUUUUGACUUUUCACCAGCAUUUUAUUCUUUAGAGAAUUUAGUCAUAAACUAAGAAUUACUUAGCCUUUCGAGUUAUAUGUGCUUUAUUCAAGGAGUGGAAAUACUGAAGUAUUGGUGUACAGAGUUAAAUGGUAGUAUUUAAUAAUUUAUAUUUCAUUUUGUAUUAAAGUCACAUACAUUACUUUCCCAUUA